AAUGGGUCUGCGGCCGAUUAGGUUGUUGUUGGGGUAAGGGCCCACCAAGCCUUUGAUCGGUAGGGGCCCUGAAAGAGGGAGCCCCGAGAGGGACACUGAGAUACUGGUCCCAGCCCUACGGGGUGCAGCAGGCGCGAAAACUUUACACUGCACGAAAGUGUGAUAAGGGAAUCCCAAGUGCUUACACUCUGUGUAGGCUUUUGCCAAGGGUAAAUUCCUUGGCGAAUAAGUGGUGGGUAAGACUGGUGCCAGCCGCCGCGGUAACCCCAGCACCACGAGUGGGAAUCACGUUUAUUGGGCCUAAAGCGUCCGUAGCCUGUUUGUUAAAUCUUUUGUGAAAUCAUGAAGCUUAACUUUGUGGCGUGCAGAAGACACUGAUAAACUUGGGACCGGGAGCAGUUAGAAGUAUUCGAAGGGUAGCGGUAAAAUGUUCUAAUCCUUCGAAGACUACCUGUGGCGAAGGCGUCUAACUAGAACGGAUCCGACGGUGAGGGACGAAAGCCAGGGGAGCAAAACGGAUUAGAUACCCGAGUAGUCCUGGCCGUAAACUCUGUGAGCUAGGUGUUGCAUUUGCUUCGGGCAAGUGCAGUGUCGAAAUGAAGAUGUUAAGCUCACCGCCUGGGGAGUACGGUCGCAAGACUGAAACUUAA
rnacentral:rRNA from 1 species